rnacentral:rRNA from 1 species
CAGCCGUAAACUAUGCGCGUUAGGUGUAUCGGUGACCACGUGUUACUGAUGUGCCGAAGAGAAAUCGUGAAACGCACCACCUGGGAAGUACGGUCGCAAGGCUGAAACUUAAGGAUUGGCGGGGGAGCACCACAACAGGUGGAGCCUGCGGUUUAAUUGGACUCAACGCCGGACAACUCACCGGGGACGACAGCAAUAUGUAGGCCAGGCUGAAGACCUUGCCUGAAUCGCUGAGAGGAGGUGCAUGGCGUAGACGUCU